rnacentral:ncRNA from 1 species
AAACUUUGUAAUGAUUCAAAAUUAGCUUAGGCAAAACUUAGCAUGGUAAUUAUAGUGUAGAAAGAAAAUUUAAUUAGAAGUAAAACUAUCUUUAUUUAACCCAGCAAGAAACAUUAAACUAUAUUUGAAAUAAUAAUUUAAUUUAGCCUUUAAGUUGGACUAAUUAGGUGCCAGCAGUCGCGGUCACACCUGACAACUAAGUUAAUCAAAAUUAGGUUAGGUUAAGGAAAAAGUUUAUAUAAUCAGGUGAAAUUGUUAUAAAAAAUAAUAUAAUUUCCUGUUAUUUACUCUUAAGCUCUGAAGAUAAACUAGGAUUAGAUACCCUACUAUAUAGAGUAUAAAUUUUAAACCUAAGUACUAAGACUAAAAAGUUAAAACUUAAACUACAUGGCGGCAGUUAAAAAUUUUAGGGGAACUUGCCAGAUAAAUGAUAAUCCCCAAAAAACUCUACUUUUGUUAACAAAGUUUGUAUAUCGCCGUCUUCAGCAUUCAUUUAAGAUGAAUUCAAAAUGUUUUUAACAAAAAGACAGGUUAAGAUGCAACUUAUAUAAAAGUCUCGGUGAGUUACAUUAAAAAAUAUUUUUGGAACCACUUUGAAAUAAAGUGAAAAAAUUGGACUUAAAAGUAAAUAUUAUAAUAAACUCUAAUUGAAUAAAGUAAUUUAACUGUGUACAAAUCGCCCGUCGCUUUCGUUGAAAAACGAAAUAAGUCGUAACAUAGUAGAUGUACCGGAAGGUGUAUCU